UAUAUAUAUAUCCCUUUGUUGUUUUUGAAGCACCAUAGUUAGGGUUUCUUAAUAAUUUGGAUUUUUUUCAUCUGAAUCUAAUUAUAUUUAAUUGAUUGAUUGAUAAUGCAAUUGAAAUUAUAAAUAAUUGAUUUGUGUUAUUAAAUCAAUGUUAGGGUUUUGAUAUGUUAUAAACUGGGGAAUUUGUGAUACUUUUCAUAGCAUUAUGCAUGUAGUUGCUGAUUUAUACUUAAGAAUUGUGAUUGAGGUCUUAGGAGCAGUUGUAGAUAAGCACAUCUCUUGGGUCUGGUUUUUAUGUAAGGCAGGAAUUUCUAUUAUAGUUAGUGGAACAAUCCUCUUUUGCAUUCAUUGUUGUUGACAAGUAAAGGAGGGAUGUGAGAUGAUGUUUGAAGAAGAGAGGAUGAGUUUCCUUUCAGAGAUGAGAACUUUUUUAAUUUUACCACUGUGCCUCUCAAUUGUAACCAGUUGAUCUUUACUCUUUGAAUUGCCUCAUGAUUAAUUUGAGUAACUGAUUGGAAGCAUUGAUGUAGAAUUCUACCUUUUCCAAGUCCUACUAUGUGUCAUGCACUUGAGGCUUAUGGGUUCAAGCUUCUAUUGAGGCAUCGUUGGCAAUUUGAUUAAGAUGCACUUGUUUGCAGUUGCAGAGAUGAGUUUAAUUGAAGGUAAGCAAAUACUAAGCUCACUGUUAAAGUCUCAUAUCAUUUGAAUUAUAUUGCAACAUCACUUCAAGAAAAAAUUGCAGAUGUCAUCCCUUUGUUAUCUUCAUUGUUGUUUAGGUUAUAUAGUAUAUAGAUCGGUGUGGAUUUAUCAAUGGAUUUUAUUUAAUUCUGAAGUAUAAUUUGGGUUUUCUUUUCUCAGCUUCACAUGUUCUUGAAUUUUUUUAUGUGAAAUAAUUGUUAAGCUUUUGCAGCAUCCUGGUCAGGAUUUUCCACUUUAUGAACUUAUUUUGCAUCUUAAAAAGUCCUAGAAAUAGAAGCUCAAGAAAGUUGUGUCAGAAUAUUGCAAUUUUCAAGCUUAAUUUUGGUAGCCACUGUUCCUCCUGCAGAUGCAGAACAUGAAGGGUCAAACAUAACUGUGCUGACACAAUUUGGCUGUGACAGGUGUUAUAACCUCUAACGAGAGGAAGUGUCAUGAUUGGUGAGGCGUUUGGAGGAAAAAAUCGAGUGUCUAGAUCUUGUAACUGACAUCUUGGACGUUUCUGAUGAGGAAGCAAUUUGGUAUGUUCUGAUUUAUGAGCCUAUUAUCAGUAGUUUAGGUUGAAAAUAUGCUUUACUCCAUCAAGUGCAAAAGUUGGUAAUGUGGUCUUAUCGGGGAGAUGCAUGCAGAUUAGUGGCUAUUAUUAUUUAGUUGGACUGCAGCUUAUUGACUGGUAGCUAGGAGGUGAUGCACAUGUAUGUUUUGUUGAAGUUUAUUGAUUUGUAAUUUUGGGGUGGAUAUUAGAAGUAAGCAAUGACUUUAAUAUUGCUUUCAAGUUUAUACGAGUUUGUUCUGCUCUAAGUUACUUGGCGCAGUUUAAAUUUUGGAAGAAUUGAAUAGGUAUUGUUUUGGUAUUUUGAUGUACUUUGUCAUUAUCUUGACAUAUUUGUAAGACUUGUUAGUUUUUUCAAUAUAAUAAUAUAAUUUAAGUUUUCAUUUAUUUUGUUUCAUAAUUAC